rnacentral:rRNA from 1 species
AUGAAGUCGGAAUUGCUAGUAAUCGCAGAUCAGCAUGCUGCGGUGAAUACGUUCCCGGGCCUUGUACACACCGCCCGUCACACCAUGGGAGUCGGUAACACCCGAAGUCGGUAGCCUAACCGUAAGGAGGGCGCCGCCGAAGGUGGGAUUGAUGACUGGGGUGAAGUCGUAACAAGGUAAC